GACGAACGCUGGCGGCGUGCUUAACACAUGCAAGUCGAACGGAAAAGCCCCGCCUUUGUUGGGGGCUCGGGUGGCGAACGGGAGGGGAAAACGAGAGUUAACUGCCCUGGACCUUGGGAUAAGUUCAGGGAACUAGGGUUUAGAUCGGAUGGGAUCUCCUGGUUCAGGGGGGGGGUUGGAAAGGUUCGGCGGUUGGGGAUGGGCUCGCGGCUUAUCAGCUUGUUGGUGGGGUAGUGGCUUACCAAGGCUUUGACGGGUAGCCGGCCUGAGAGGGUGACCGGCCACAUUGGGACUGAGAUACGGCCCAGACUCCUACGGGAGGCAGCAGUGGGGAAUAUUGCACAAUGGGCGGAAGCCUGAUGCAGCAACGCCGCGUGCGGGAUGACGGCCUUCGGGUUGUAAACCGCUUUCGCCUGUGACGAAGCGUGAGUGACGGUAAUGGGUAAAGAAGCACCGGCUAACUACGUG
rnacentral:rRNA from 1 species